GCAUUGCGGGUCUUACCAUGCAAGUCGAACGAUGAAGCCCAGCUUGCUGGGUGGAUUAGUGGCGAACGGGUGAGUAACACGUGAGUAACCUGCCCUUAACUCUGGGAUAAGCCUGGGAAACUGGGUCUAAUACCGGAUAGGAGCGCCUACCGCAUGKKKGGUSUUGGAAAGAKUUAUCGGUUUUGGAUGGACUCKCGGCCUWWCAGCUUGUUGGUGAGGUAAUGGCUCACCAAGGCGACGACGGGUAGCCGGCCUGAGAGGGUGACCGKCCACACUGGGACUGAGACACGKCCCAGACUCCUACGGRAGGCAGCAGUGGGGAAUAUUGCACAAUGGGCGCAAGCCUGAUGCAGCGACGCCGCGUGAGRGAUGACGGCCUUCGGGUUGUAAACCUCUUUCAGUAGGGAAGAAGCGAAAGUGACGGUACCUGCAGAAGAAGCACCGGCUAACUACGUGCCAGCAGCCGCGGUAAUACGUAGGGUGCGAGCGUUAUCCGGAAUUAUUGGGCGUAAAGAGCUCGUAGGCGGUUUGUCGCGUCUGUCGUGAAAGUCCGGGGCUUAACCCCGGAUCUGCGGUGGGUACGGGCAGACUAGAGUGCAGUAGGGGAGACUGGAAUUCCUGGUGUAGCGGUGGAAUGCGCAGAUAUCAGGAGGAACACCGAUGGCGAAGGCAGGUCUCUGGGCUGUAACUGACGCUGAGGAGCGAAAGCAUGGGGAGCGAACAGGAUUAGAUACCCUGGUAGUCCAUGCCGUAAACGUUGGGCACUAGGUGUGGGGACCAUUCCACGGUUUCCGCGCCGCAGCUAACGCAUUAAGUGCCCCGCCUGGGGAGUACGGCCGCAAGGCUAAAACUCAAAGGAAUUGACGGGGGCCCGCACAAGCGGCGGAGCAUGCGGAUUAAUUCGAUGCAACGCGAAGAACCUUACCAAGGCUUGACAUGUUCUCGAUCGCCGUAGAGAUACGGUUUCCCCUUUGGGGCGGGUUCACAGGUGGUGCAUGRUUGUCGUCAGCUCGUGUCGUGAGAAUGWUGGGUUAAGUCCCGCAACGAGCGCAACCCUCGWUCCAUGUUGCMWGCACGUAAUGGUGGGGACUCAUGSGAGACUGCYGGGGUCAACUCGGAGGAAGGUGAGGACGACGUCMAAUCAUCAUGCCSCUUAUGUCUUGGGCUUCRCGCAUGCUACAAUGGCCGGUACAAUGGSUYGCRAUACUGUGAGGUGGAGCUAAUCCCARMAAGCCGSUCWCAGYUCGGAWUGGKGUCUGCAACUCGACCCCAUGAAGUCGGAGUCGCUAGUAAUCGCAGAUCAGCAACGCUGCGGUGAAUACGUUCCCGGGCCUUGUACACACCGCCCGUCAAGUCACGAAAGUCGGUAACACCCGAAGCCGGUGGCCUAACCCUUGUGGGGGAGCCGUCGAAGGUGACCCGG
rnacentral:rRNA from 1 species